rnacentral:rRNA from 1 species
AGGACGUGCUAAUCUGCGAUAAGCGUCGGUGAGGUGAUAUGAACCGUUAUAACCGGCGAUUUCCGAAUGGGGAAACCCAGUGUGUUUCGACACACUAUCAUUAACUGAAUCCAUAGGUUAAUGAGGCGAACCGGGGGAACUGAAACAUCUAAGUACCCCGAGGAAAAGAAAUCAACCGAGAUUCCCCCAGUAGCGGCGAGCGAACGGGGAGGAGCCCAGAGCCUGAAUCAGUGUGUGUGUUAGUGGAAGCGUCUGGAAAGGCGUGCGAUACAGGGUGACAGCCCCGUACACAAAAAUGCACAUAUUGUGAGCUCGAUGAGUAGGGCGGGACACGUGGUAUCCUGUCUGAAUAUGGGGGGACCAUCCUCCAAGGCUAAAUACUCCUGACUGACCGAUAGUGAACCAGUACCGUGAGGGAAAGGCGAAAAGAACCCCGGCGAGGGGAGUGAAAAAGAACCUGAAACCGUGUACGUACAAGCAGUGGGAGCCUCUUAAUGGGGUGACUGCGUACCUUUUGUAUAAUGGGUCAGCGACUUAUAUUCUGUAGCAAGGUUAACCGAAUAGGGGAGCCGAAGGGAAACCGAGUCUUAACUGGGCGUUAAGUUGCAGGGUAUAGACCCGAAACCCGGUGAUCUAGCCAUGGGCAGGUUGAAGGUUGGGUAACACUAACUGGAGGACCGAACCGACUAAUGUUGAAAAAUUAGCGGAUGACUUGUGGCUGGGGGUGAAAGGCCAAUCAAACCGGGAGAUAGCUGGUUCUCCCCGAAAGCUAUUUAGGUAGCGCCUCGUGAAUUCAUCUCCGGGGGUAGAGCACUGUUUCGGCAAGGGGGUCAUCCCGACUUACCAACCCGAUGCAAACUGCGAAUACCGGAGAAUGUUAUCACGGGAGACACACGGCGGGUGCUAACGUCCGUCGUGAAGAGGGAAACAACCCAGACCGCCAGCUAAGGUCCCAAAGUCAUGGUUAAGUGGGAAACGAUGUGGGAAGGCCCAGACAGCCAGGAUGUUGGCUUAGAAGCAGCCAUCAUUUAAAGAAAGCGUAAUAGCUCACUGGUCGAGUCGGCCUGCGCGGAAGAUGUAACGGGGCUAAACCAUG